GCGGCGGUGCUGGUGGCGCGCGGUCGGGUGGCGGCCCGCGCCGUGGGCGAGAGGCUGCGGCGGACGACUUGUCCCGGAGAGGCGAAGAAGAGCGAGCCGAUGGCGCCGGCGGCCGCGCUUUGACCCGGUAUGUGGCAAGAUUAUAAUUAAUGUGGUUGCUGAUGGUUGUGAAUAAAUACAGCUUUUAUCCCAGGUAUGCCAUUUUGAAGACUGAGACAGUAGAAUUUUACAUAUAAGAAUAAAGGAAAGCCCUUGGGAAAUUCUGUAUUUAAAUAGCAAUUCCUGGGAUUAAAUUUGGGUCAGGCUUGCCAGCAGGCACUUUUACCUGGUGAGUCACCUCACUGUCUCUUUUUGGUAGACAUGGUCUCAUGUCUAUAAUUUUGAACUCUCACACUUUGAA